AUCGAACGCUGGCGGCAUGCCUUACACAUGCAAGUCGAACGGCAGCACGGAGCUUGCUCUGGUGGCGAGUGGCGAACGGGUGAGUAAUAUAUCGGAACGUACCCUAGAGUGGGGGAUAACGUAGCGAAAGUUACGCUAAUACCGCAUACGAUCUAAGGAUGAAAGUGGGGGAUCGCAAGACCUCAUGCUCGUGGAGCGGCCGAUAUCUGAUUAGCUAGUUGGUAGGGUAAAAGCCUACCAAGGCAUCGAUCAGUAGCUGGUCUGAGAGGACGACCAGCCACACUGGAACUGAGACACGGUCCAGACUCCUACGGGAGGCAGCAGUGGGGAAUUUUGGACAAUGGGCGAAAGCCUGAUCCAGCAAUGCCGCGUGAGUGAAGAAGGCCUUCGGGUUGUAAAGCUCUUUUGUCAGGGAAGAAACGGUGAAAGCUAAUAUCUUUUGCUAAUGACGUACCUGAAGAAUAAGCUCCGCA
rnacentral:rRNA from 1 species